rnacentral:rRNA from 1 species
GAUGAACGCUGGCGGCGUGCUUAACACAUGCAAGUCGAACGGAAAGGCCAGUGCUUGCCCUGGUACUCGAGUGGCGAACGGGUGAGUAACACGUGGGUGAUCUGCCCUGCACUUCGGGAUAAGCCUGGGAAACUGGGUCUAAUACCGGAUAGGACAAUGGUUUGGAUGCCGUUGUGGAAAGUUUUUUCGGUGUGGGAUGAGCUCGCGGACUAUCAGCUUGUUGGUGGGGUAAUGGCCUACCAAGGCGUCGACGGGUAGCCGGCCUGAGAGGGUGUACGGCCACAUUGGGACUCAGCUACGGCCCAGACUCCUACGGGAGGCAGCAGUGGGGAAUAUUGCACAAUGGGCGCAAGCCUGAUGCAGCGACGCCGCGUGGGGGAUGACGGCCUUCGGGUUGUAAACUCCUUUCGCUAGGGACGAAGCGUAUUUGUGACGGUACCUGGAGAAGAAGCACCGGCUAACUACGUG